AUGACCCGCAGGCCGUUGGAGAGGGUCGCCCGCGUGACCGUCGCGGGGGCGGCACUCGUUGCUGCCGCGUUCGUCGUGGGGGCCGUG
rnacentral:tRNA from 1 species